rnacentral:rRNA from 1 species
UACGUAGGGAGCUAGCGCUGUUCGGAAUCACUGGGCGUGAAGCGCACGUAGGCGGCUUUGCAAGUUAGAGGUGAAAGCCCGGGGCUCAACUCCGGAACUGCCUUUAAGACUGCAUCGCUUGAAUCCGGGAGAGGUGAGUGGAAUUCCCAGUGUAGAGGUGAAAUUCGUAGAUAUUCGGAAGAACACCAGUGGCGAAGGCGGCUCACUGGACCGGUAUUGACGCUCAGGCGUGAAAGCGUGGGGAGCAAACAGG